rnacentral:lncRNA from 1 species
CCACCACCACCACCCUACAAAUACUCAUCACCACCACCACCACCCUACAAAUACUCAUCCCCUCCACCACCACCCUACAAGUAUUCAUCCCCACCACCACCACCCUAUAAGUACUCAUCACCACCACCACCACCAUACAUGUACUCGUCCCCUCCUCCUCCACCCUACAAGUACUCAUCCCCACCACCACCACCCUACAAAUACUCUUCCCCUCCACCACCACCGUACAAGUACUCUUCACCACCACCACCACCAUACAAAUACUCUUCCCCUCCACCACCACCUUACAAAUACUCAUCUCCUCCACCCCCACCAUACAAAUAUUCAUCCCCACCUCCACCACCCUACAAAUACUCAUCCCCUCCACCACCACCCUACAAAUACUCAUCCCCUCCACCACCACCCUAUAAGUACUCUUCACCACCACCACCACCCUACAAAUACUCAUCACCACCACCACCACCCUACAAAUACUCAUCCCCACCACCACCACCAUACAAGUA